GGUGUAGCGCAGUUGGUAGCGCAUCUGGUUUGGGACCAGGGGGUCGCAGGUUCGAAUCCUGUCACC
rnacentral:tRNA from 1 species